UAGGGAAUCUUCCGCAAUGGACGCAAGUCUGACGGAGCAACGCCGCGUGAGUGAAGAAGGAUUUCGGUUCGUAAAACUCUGUUGUUAGAGAAGAACAGCGCAUAGAGUAACUGUUAUGCGUGUGACGGUAUCUAACCAGAAAGCCACGGCUAACUACGUGCCAGCAGCCGCGGUAAUACGUAGGUGGCAAGCGUUGUCCGGAUUUAUUGGGCGUAAAGCGAGCGCAGGCGGUCAAUUAAGUCUGAUGUGAAAGCCCCCGGCUCAACCGGGGAGGGUCAUUGGAAACUGGUUGACUUGAGUGCAGAAGAGGAGGGUGGAAUUCCAGGUGUAGCGGUGAAAUGCGUAGAUAUAUGGAGGAACACCAGUGGCGAAGGCGACUCUCUGGUCUGUAACUGACGCUGAGGCUCGAAAGCGUGGGUAGCAAACAGG
rnacentral:rRNA from 1 species